UACGGGGGGGGCAAGCGUUGUUCGGAAUUACUGGGCGUAAAGGGCUCGUAGGCGGCCAACUAAGUCCGACGUGAAAUCCCAAGGCUUAACCUUGGAACUGCGUCGGAUACUGGAUGGCUUAAUUCGGGAGAGGGAUGCAGAAUUCCAGGUGUAGCGGUGAAAUGCGUAGAUAUCAGGAGGAACACCGAUGGCGAAGGCAGGUCUCUGGGCCACUACUGACGCUGAGAAGCGAAAGCGUGGGGAGCAAACAGG
rnacentral:rRNA from 1 species